CUAGUUUUCAUUUCUACUAAGCCAAAAGCUUGAAACAUAUAUUAUGCAAUUUUUAACAAGUAUCACUCCAUUUUUUUUGUUUUCCUAGGGAUACAAACCAUAGAAAAAGUCAGCUUUUGGGUCAGCUGCAAUGGGGAAUUAAAUUGAAUAAAGUGAAUCAAAAUGCUUGUGCUCAGCCAACUGCAUAAUCAAAGGAUAAAGAUUCCACUGAACAAUUUAGUAUCUGACUUUUCUAACUAACCUUUCUGUCAUAAAUCAAAAUAUUUCAUUUUAUUGUUGAAAGUUAGUCAGCACUGGGGAGAAAGAGAAAGGAAGAGAGCAGCACAGGUAGCCAUGGUCAGUAUAUACCAGUAAGGUCACACAUCCAGAGAAUCCUGUGACAUCACAAUAAACACAACAAUAAAGCUCUGGUGGAUUGGGAAGUCACCGAGAUGACAGGAAGGUAUCUUUGGACUCAGUUGCUUUCCACCAUACUUACUUCACCUAAUUAUUGGUUAAGUUCUAGAAUCGGCCCAAUAUUUUCCAGAGGUUGAAUGCUUGAAACUCCCGUGAAUUUACUGCUAAACAUAAGAGCGUGUGCAGCCCUGCCCCAAAAAGGCUAAAACAGGACAAGAAUAGUUACAUAAAAGGCGAUGAUGAUGACCACAGGUGUGGAACAAUUUCAUAUAGUGAAUGCAGGCCAGAGAAGAGCAGUUACAGAGGAAGAGGGUACUCUGUCAAAAAUGGCAAGGUGAUAGCUAAUACAGAGCAAUUGAUGAGCGUGAAUUGUAUGAUGAGAAUUAAAGAAAUCGAGUUGAAAUUUAAAAUACUACAAGAAAUAUUCCCUUAUUCAAUGAACAGUUGAAAUUCUUGGAAUGAAUGGCCAUGAAAUCUGUUAACCAUAGUGGUGUGACUCCUGCCUUCUGCUGAGAAAAUC
rnacentral:lncRNA from 12 species